UACAUGUGUAGGAUAGGUGGGAGGCUUUGAAGCGUUGUCGCCAGAUAGCGUGGAGCCAUCCUUGAAAUACCACCCUUGUAUGUUUGAUGUUCUAACACUGACCCGUUAUCCGGGUUGUGGACAGUGUCUGGUGGGUAGUUUGACUGGGGCGGUCUCCUCCCAAAUAGUAACGGAGGAGCACGAAGGUUAGCUAAUCACGGUCGGACAUCGUGAGGUUAGUGCAAUGGCAUAAGCUAGCUUAACUGCGAGACAGACACGUCGAGCAGAUACGAAAGUAGGUCAUAGUGAUCCGGUGGUUCUGAAUGGAAGGGCCAUCGCUCAACGGAUAAAAGGUACUCCGGGGAUAACAGGCUGAUACCGCCCAAGAGUUCAUAUCGACGGCGGUGUUUGGCACCUCGAUGUCGGCUCAUCACAUCCUGGGGCUGAAGUCGGUCCCAAGGGUAUGGCUGUUCGCCAUUUAAAGUGGUACGCGAGCUGGGUUUAGAACGUCGUGAGACAGUUCGGUCCCUAUCUGCCGUGGACGUUGGAGAUUUGAGGAAAGCUGCUCCUAGUACGAGAGGACCGGAGUGGACGAACCUCUGGUGUUCGGGUUGUGACGCCAGUCGCAUUGCCCGGUAGCUAUGUUCGGACAGGAUAACCGCUGAAAGCAUCUAAGCGGGAAGCCCCUUCCAAGAUGAGAUCUCCCUGGACCCUCGAGGUCCCUGAAGAGCCGUUCAAGACCAGGACGUUGAUAGGUCGGGUGUGUAAGCGCUGCGAGGCGUUGAGCUAACCGAUACUAAUUGCUCGUGC
rnacentral:rRNA from 14 species